UGUAAGGGAGCUACCAUUUGAUUUUUAUGGGGGGGCUAGGAUGAAAAAUUUUGUCCUGCAUUUUUUUUUAACUGUAAUCUCUGUCCUGUCUUUUUAUUUUUCACUCUGUUCGGUCCUGCCUUUUUUUUUUUUAGUUUAUCCUGACUUUUUUUUACCUAAAUUGUCGUCCUGACUUUUUUUUUUCGUAAGUGUCUCAUCCUGCCUUUUUUUUACUCAAAACUCCUGUCCUGCCUAUUUUUUUCAAAUUUCAUCCUAGCCCCCCCCAUAAAAAUCAAAUGGUAGCUCCCUAAUUACGAAAUUUU
rnacentral:lncRNA from 1 species